AUACGGAGGGGACAAGCGUUAUUCGGAAUCACUGGGCGUAAAGGACGCGUAGGCGGGUUAUUAAGUCGGGUGUGAAAUCCUACAGCUCAACUGUAGAACUGCAUUCGAAACUGAUAACCUAGAGUAUGGAAGGGGCAGGUGGAAUUAGUGGUGUAGGGGUAAAAUCCGUAGAUAUCACUAGGAAUACCGAAAGCGAAGGCGACCUGCUGGGACAUUACUGACGCUGAGGCGUGAAAGCGUGGGGAGCAAACAGGAUUAGAAACCCUAGUAGUCC
rnacentral:rRNA from 1 species